UUAAUUAAGGUUCAGAAGAAACGUCUCUUGCAUCUCUCUCUCUCCGCUACUCAUCUCCUCCUUCACGAAUCCCAUCCUCUCGAUCUCUCCAAUAUCCCAUGGUUUCAUCGUAUCUUCUUCAAAUCUUUUCAUCUCUCUGUUUUCCUCGUAGAUCCCUCUGUUUUCCCUUUCUAUCCUUCACGACACGGCUGAGGAUCAGGGUUUGGGGCUUUUGCGUGUGAGUGAUUGGAAGAUGUAUUUGAUUAUGAGGUUGGGGCUGGAGAUGAAGGAAGGGUUGUUGUUGUGGUGGCUUUCGAGAGGGAUGACGGAGAAUUUGUCUCGGUGGAAGUGAUGAGGACGACACUUGUUGCAGAAGUGUGUUGACUGAUAAAGAUUUGUUUUUUUUUAUCUAUUGGUUGGGGCAGAGAAGGGUCAGUGAUUAAGCAGAAGACAAGUGUUUCGUCUCUAGUUAUUGAUCCAUGUCGUGUCACUCAGCUCUCUUGGACUCCUAGGGUGUUUUUGUACAAGGGAUUUCUUACAGAUGAGGAAUGUGAUCAUUUCAUCAACUUGGCACUAUCAAUCAAUCAAUCAUCUUCUUCAUUAUGCUUUUUGUUUGUUUGAGAACUUAGUGAUGAUGAUCAUGGAAUGUUUUGAGACUGUGUGACUUAAGUCAACUACUUUGUUUUUUUAGGCGAAAGGGAAACUUGAGAAGUCAAUGGUCGCGGAUAAUGAUUCAGGUGAGAGCGUGGCAAGUGGAGUGCACACUAAUUCUGGAAUGUUUCUUUCCAAAAGACAGAAGAUGAGUUUUGCAGAGAGAUAGAGCUUCUCGCCAGGCUGCAUCACCGCCAUCUAGUUGCUUUGAAAGGCUUUUGUGUUAAGAAGAACGAGAGGUGAACUAUUAUUACACUUUUGCUUCCUUUCUUUCUCCUCUGCUCAUCAAACUUGAGAGUUUCCAGAUUCCUUAUCUACAAAUAUAUGGCAAAUGGGAGCUUGACGGAUCAUCUACAUUGUAUGCUCAUGACUCCUAAAUUUUUUUGCUAUAUUGUAGAUUUGACUUCAGAAUCUUUGACUUUUUAUUUAAGAACUCUUAGUUGAGUUUUUGCAUUGGACCACUAAAACUAAUUGUCUCUUAACAAAAGUUUUUAGCUUAAUUUUAUUAUUUAAAUAUU